rnacentral:rRNA from 1 species
UACGAAGGGGGCUAGCGUUGCUCGGAAUCACUGGGCGUAAAGGGUGCGUAGGCGGGUCUUUAAGUCAGGGGUGAAAUCCUGGAGCUCAACUCCAGAACUGCCUUUGAUACUGAAGAUCUUGAGUUCGGGAGAGGUGAGUGGAACUGCGAGUGUAGAGGUGAAAUUCGUAGAUAUUCGCAAGAACACCGGUGGCGAAGGCGGCAUCCUGGACCGGCAUUGACGCUGAGGCGCGAAAGCCAGGGGAGCAAACGGG